CAGAGGGUGCGAGCGUUAAUCGGAAUUACUGGGCGUAAAGCGCGCGUAGGCGGCUUUGCAAGUCGGGUGUGAAAUCCCCAGGCUUAACCUGGGAACUGCAUUCGAGACUGCAUUGCUAGAGUAUGGGUGAGGGAAGUGGAAUUUCCGGUGUAGCGGUGAAAUGCGUAGAUAUCGGAAGGAACAUCAGUGGCGAAAGCGACUUCCUGGACCAAUACUGACGCUCAUGUGCGAAAGCGUGGGGAGCAAACAGGAUUAGAUACCCUGGUAGUCCACGCCAUAAACGAUGAGAACUGGAUGUCGGGAGGGUCUGCCUCUCGGUGUCGUAGCUAACGCGUUAAGUUCUCCGCCUGGGGAGUACGGCCGCAAGGUUG
rnacentral:rRNA from 1 species